GUUCAGGGAACAGGACACAGGAAGUGACAUCAAAACCCUCCAUGAGCCACUCAGAACUCUGAACCUUGAUCUCCAGGCAGCCAGAAUCUGACACAAAGGUGGCUCUCUUGCCUGGAGGCCCUGGAGCAGACAACAUGUUUUGUCGCCUGCCCAGGACCCCAGGGUGCAAGACCCGUAAACGAUUCCAGGGCCUUUACAAAAUCUUGCAAGGAAGAAACUGGCCUUGCUGGUCAUUCGCUGGGAGGGCACCAGAGGGGAGACAAUCGAGGUGCCGGCUUGGGGAAGAAAUUUAAGACUCACAAACAGUCCUACUCUUCAAGAACAGACCCCCGCUACCCUGCAGCACCGGGUGAAGGUGUGGCAGGUCCUGGGUACCGCACCUGGAGCCCCUGGAGGAGGAGAAUAAAGAAGAUCUGACUGAGGUUAUCACAGAGGGGAAGCCACCAGGAGGACAAGAGGCAACUUCAGGACAUACUGGGGUUCCUGAUGCCACUUGACCCCGACUCAGGGAAGGAGAAAGCUGUCUGGAUCCCAGUGUGAUAUCUGGUUGUCCUGAGCACACCCCACCCUGGCUGUGGGAGGGAGAACCCAGCCAGAAGCCCUCCGUUACAGCUGAGGGACCUUAGUAUACCCCAUCAUGCUUGGGGGAGGUUGAACACUACCCAGGCCCUGGCAUGACCCCCAUGGGUCCAGAGCCCACCCAUCCCUGGCUGGUGGAAGGAGGACCUGGCCACUUCCCUGCCAUAACCCCCAUGGGUCCAGAGCCCUCCCCACCCUGGUUGAGGGAGGGAGAAAUCAAGUAGGACCAAGUCAGGACACCCACGGAUCCUGAGCCCACCCUAAUCUCGCUGGGGUAGAGAGAACAAUGCCAGGACUUAUUUCCAUUCCUCAUUGA